GAACGAGAAAGUGGAGCAAUCCAUGAGUAAAGUGGCGACCGGGUGAGUAACACGUGACUAACCUACCCUUGAGUGGGGGAUAACCUCGGGAAACCGGGGCUAAUACCGCAUAACAUCGCAAGAUCAAAGGAGCAAUCCGCUGAAGGAGGGGGUCGCGGCUGAUUAGUUAGUUGGUGAGGUAAUGGCCUACCAAGGCGAAGAUCGGUAGCCGGCCUGAGAGGGCGCACGGCCACACUGGAACUGAAACACGGUCCAGACUCCUACGGGAGGCAGCAGUGGGGAAUUUUGCGCAAUGGGGGAAACCCUGACGCAGCAACGCCGCGUGGAGGAUGAAGUCCCUUGGGACGUAAACUCCUUUCGACCGGGACGAUACUGACGGUACCGGAAGAAGAAGCACCGGCUAACUCUGUG
rnacentral:rRNA from 1 species